GGGAACAUAACUCAGUUGGUAGAGUAGCCGACUUUUAAUCGGUUAGUCGUUGGUUCGAGCCCAACUGUUCUCA